GCAGCCUGAUGCAGCAACGCCGCGUGAGGGACGACGGCCUUCGGGUUGUAAACCUCUUUUAGUAGGGAAGAAGCGAAAGUGACGGUACCUGCAGAAAAAGCACCGGCUAACUACGUGCCAGCAGCCGCGGUAAUACGUAGGGUGCAAGCGUUGUCCGGAAUUAUUGGGCGUAAAGAGCUCGUAGGCGGUUUGUCACGUCUGCUGUGAAAACUGGAGGCUCAACCUCCAGCUUGCAGUGGGUACGGGCAGACUAGAGUGCGGUAGGGGAGAUUGGAAUUCCUGGUGUAGCGGUGGAAUGCGCAGAUAUCAGGAGGAACACCGAUGGCGAAGGCAGAUCUCUGGGCCGUAACUGACGCUGAGGAGCGAAAGCGUGGGGAGCGAACAGGAUUAGAUACCCUGGUAGUCCACGCCGUAAACGUUGGGAACUAGAUGUGGGGUCCAUUCCACGGAUUCCGUGUCGCAGCUAACGCAUUAAGUUCCCCGCCUGGGGAGUACGGCCGCAAGGCUAAAACUCAAAGGAAUUGACGGGGGCCCGCACAAGCGGCGGAGCAUGCGGAUUAAUUCGAUGCAACGCGAAGAACCUUACCAAGGCUUGACAUAUACCUGUAAAGGCUAGAAAUAGUCUCCCCGCAAGGC
rnacentral:rRNA from 1 species